GCGGCGCGGCGGGAUCG
rnacentral:miRNA from 1 species